rnacentral:lncRNA from 10 species
UAGGAAAGUCUUUUUUUAACUUAUUUUGAAUUUGUAUUUCAUUUUCAUUGUCUGAUUCAUGCUGUGUGACUCUUCUCUCUACUUCCAAGCUAUCAUCAGUAUGAAUUGAAGAAACAAGAUUGUCCUUUGAACUAAAAUCCUGUUCAUCCUCAUUGUCACUACCAACGACUGGAAUUCCUGCAAGAUCCCCAGAGUUCAAAAAAUAAUCAUCUUCAUCCAGCAAUGAAUUUUCAGAUCCUGUUUGAUUCGGCAUUCCAUAAGACAUGCUGUCAAGGGUAGGAGUUAAGUUGUGGUCUAUAUCUUCAGACAUUUCUGUAUCCAUGAUACCACCACCUUAAAAAGUAAAAUACUGUUUAGACAAAUGAUAGUGCUAAAGAUGACCACAAUGAUAAGGUCAGUCUGGUAUUUAACCAAAUAAAUAUUUUUUCAAACAAAAUACAGAUAUUACCAUAGUAUUCAUUUAACACUUUGAUAUAGGUGUGACAGAUAUAACUAUUCCUAUCUGACAGUUAAGGAAACAAGGAGCCAAAACUUGAGAAACUACUUUAGGUUAGAAAAGAAAGCUACGUGAUAUAGAGAAAAGAGCACCAACUUCAGAAUCAGACAUAUCUGUGUUGAAAUCAAAGCAUGAUCCUGAAAAUCUAUGUAAUCCUAAAAAGUAAACUCUCAGAGUCUAUCUAUACAACAGCAUAAUACUCACCUUGGAGAUAAAUUUGUGGUGAGGAUUAGUGAUAGUAUGUACAAAAGACCUACUAACACAAUGACUGACAAAUAGAAGGGAAUAUAAAAUGGUAAUUAUAAUUAUUAUGGCGAUUAUUCAGGGAAAACUGAGAUUAGCACUCAGGUCUUUGGUCUGAGUCCCAUUUUCUCUGCACUAACACUAAUAAACACUGACGGCAGUUAAUACUUACACAUAAAAAUAAAUUUUAUCCAACCUAGAAUAAAAGACUAUUUACUGUUUAAAACUACUAAUAUAUACUAAUCUCUCCCAUUCCAAAACAAAACAAAGCAAUGCCCUCAUUCAUGCCCUAACCCUACAAUGCCCUCAUUCAUCUUCCCUUCACAAACUUGUAGGAAAAAAAUUCUACCUAGUUUGCUUCUACUUCAUCUCUAUCAUUAACCCUUUGAGCUUAAUACAAUCAGCUCCCAACUUUCCACUGGAACUUUUCUCAUUAACAUCAUCAAUGAUCUCCUAAUGGUCAAAGCAAAUUGACUUUUUUCAAUUCCUAAAUGGCAUAUCCCUCAUGGAUAAAAUUCCUUUGGAUUCUUUGGUACUCUUAUUUCUUACUUUCCUUAAUUGCCUUAUAAUUUAUUUUAUACUCUUCUUCUGUUCACAUGGCUUCAAUGUUAGCUUUUCUGCAAGAUUCCUGUUCUCUUUACUUUUACACUCAGACUGAGCUAUUUUGUUCACCUCCAUAACACUUACCUUUGCUACUGACUUCCUAAGCACUUAAGCUUAGACCUUUCUUAUAAGAUUUCGGAUGUCUAUAUUCAACUAGCUCCUACACGUUCUCCAACUUAGCAUCUCUAAAAUCAAAACUCAUCAUGUUCCCUCCCAUUCCAAGCAUAUGCUUCUUAUAUUUCCCUCAGAUGGUUAACAGAUUCACCAAACCAGCAGUUGCUCAAGAUUUCCCCCUGGACAAAUUCUGUCAACUUUAUUACUUAUCUCUCUCAAAUCCAUCUUUUCCACUUAGCACCUAGUUCUAAUACUCCACGUCUCCUCCUGGAUUCUACAAUACCUUCAAAGGUAUACUAAUUCAGUCCACAUGGAUACUCAGGAAGCAACCAUACCCUUAUAAACUCUAUGCCUAAACCACAUUUAAUUGAUACAUCAGCAAACAAACUGGAACUGAUAAAAAUAGAGUGAGGCGAAGACUAAAAAUAUUAGUGGCACUGGCAUCCUUGCUCUUAUUUGUUCCUGAAGCCCAGUUACAUCCUUCAUGUGGCUGGUUCUUCAACCCUUCUCUGGAUUAUGGAAUCCAAUAAAUUCCUUUUGUUAAGUUGAUUUGAGUUGGAUUAUCUGUAAUCAGGUCCCAACUGAUACAGAACCCAAAGGAAAGCUUUCCUGGACCAGGCACAGUGGCUCACACCUAUAAUCUUAGCACUUUGGGAGGCUGAGGCCAGAGGAUUGUUUGAGGCCAGGAGUUCAAGACCAGCCUGGGCAACAUAGCAAAAGCCCAUCUCUACAAAAAAAAAUUUUGUUUUAAUCAGCCAGGUGUAGUGGUACACACAUGCAGUCCUAGCUACUCAGGAGGCUGAGGAAGGAGGAUCACUUGAACCCAAGAGUUUGAGGCUGCAGCAAGCUAUAAUUGUGCCACUGCACUCCAGCCUGGGUGAUGUGACAGGGCAACCCCCUGUUUCUUUCUUUUUUUUUUCUGAGCUUUGCUCAAGUUGCUCUCUUCCAUAAUGACAUCAGAAUUACCUUUCCAAAAUAUAAAUCAUUUCACAUUACAUCCUCCCUUGAGAUUCUUCAAUAGCUCCCCACUGCUUGAAGUAUUCAUUCAUUCAGUACAUAUUUAUUAGGAAACCACUCUGUGGUAGGUAUUGCACUAGGUUCUAGGGAUAAAAUGAUGAAAGAGAUAGCUAUGACUCUUCCUCCUCACAGAGCUAGAAAAAAUAAACAGAAAAUUAGAAACAGUAUGAGGGUAAAUAAUGAUUUGAGUCCAUAAUGUCAAAGGGAAGGAGAUAAAAGCUUGUUUCUAUCAUAAGAACGUUUGCUAAUAAACGUAGAGGCAAUAAUAUAAUUGGAAAAAUUGUCUAUACUUUCUAAAAUAAUCAAUUGAGACAACAGAUAGUAAAACAGAUGCUAAAAUCUUAGGAGAUGUAUGCUGAAGAACUUACAGGUGAGCCAUCUCAACGUUUCAUCAUUAGUAGCUGACCACAUAGCAUGUGCUCUGUAAUUUUUCAUAAAUGAAAAAUUAGGUGUUUUAUGUAGUCAGAACAAUGAGUUCUAUAGUGCAUGAGAAGUCAAUACUAAGAAGUAAUAUUGUAAGCAACUUUCCAUAUCACUACAUUUACUUAUUUAUUUAGUUAGUUGGUUCAUUUUUUGAGACAGGAUCUGGCUCUGUCACCCAGGCUGGCGUGCAGUGGCAUGAUCUCAGCUUAUUACAACCUCCGCCUCCAGGACUCAAGCAAUCCUCCUACCUCAGCCUCUCAAGUGGCUGAGAUAACAGGCGCAUGCCGCCACAUCUGGCUAAUCUUUGUAUUUUUUGUAGAGACCCAGUUUGGUCUUGAACUCCUGAGCUCAAGCAAUCCGCCCACCUCAGCCUGCCAAACUGCUGGGAUUACAGACAUGAGCCACUGCACCCAGCCCCUUAUCAUUACAUUUAAAUUCAGGAUAUAGUAUUUGAAGAAAAGGGUAGUCAUAUGGAAAAAUGAGAUCCCUAACUCACAUCAAAAAAUUUUACAGAUGUAUCUAAGUUUUAGGCAUAAAGAAAUAAAACAGUAAUAUUAAAUAAACUACGGAAGAAUUAUUUUAGUAAUAUUAAAGAAACUAUGGAAGAAUUAUUUUUGAGUCGCAGAGACAAGCCUUUCUAAUAAUGACCAAAAAAAUCCAGAAUAAAAGAUCAAGUUAUAAAUAAAAAUAUAAAAGAUCAAAUGUGACUUUAAAAAUGGCUAGAGAUGAGAAAACACAAACCAAAUCAAAAAGAUAAAAAGAUAAACUGAUUUAAAAGGUUUUAUUUCAUAUCACAAAGGGUAAUUUCCUUAAAAGAUAAAGAUAGGACCUAUAGUUCAGUAAAGAUACAGACAAAUAACCAAAUACACAUAUAAAAGCAAAGGGCUCAAACAAAUAUUUCAGAGAGAGCAAAAUACUAAGGUUCAACAAGAGAAAUGCAAACUAAUAAAACGAGAUAUCACGUUCACACAGCAGGUUGGUAAUGACAAAAAGUUUUGAUAAAAGUCUUGCAGAUGGCUGGGUGCGGUGGCUCACGCCUGUAAUCCCAGCACUUUGGGAGGCCAAGGUGGGCGGAUCAUGAGGUCAGGAGAUUGAGACCAUCCUGGCUAACACAGUGAAACCCUGUCUCUACUUAAAAAAAAAAAAAAAAAAAAAAAAAAAGAAGCCAGGCGUGGUGACGGGCACCUGUAGUCCCAGCUACUCGGGAGGCUGACGCAGGAGAAUGGCGUGAACCUGGAAGGCGAAGCUUGCAGUGAGCCGAGAUUGCGCCACUGCACUCCAGCCUGGGCGACAGUUAGACUCUGUCUCAAAAAUAAAAAAUAAAUAAAAAUAAAAAAUAAAGUCUUGCAGCUAUAUUAUAGGCCAAAAUUAGGAAACUAUGGCCCAAGACUAAAAUAUAUACAAAGAAAAGUUUUUGAAAGAGACCAUAUGUAGGCUGCAAAGUCCAAAAUAUUUACCAUCUGGCCCUUAACAGAAAAACAUUUGCCAACCCCUGCAGUCAAAUACUGCUGGUAGGAAUGCAAACUGGUACAAAACUAAUAAAGAGCAAUUAGGCAAUGUUUUUGAUACUUUGAAUACACAGAACUCUUGACCCAACAAUUCAACUUUUUUUUUUUUUUUUUUUUUUUUUUUUUAAAGACAAAGUUUCACUCUGUCGCCCAGGCUCGAAUGCAGUGGUGCCAUCCUGGCUCACUGCAACCUCUGCCUCCCAGGUUCAAGCGAUUCUCCUGCCUCAGCCUCCUGAGUAGCUGGGAUUACAGGCACCUGCCACCACACCCGGCUAAUUUUUGUAUUUUUAGUAGAGACAAGGUUUCACCAUGUUGGCCAGGCUGGUCUCAAAACUCCUGACCUCAGGUGAUCCACCCGCCUUGGCCUCCCAAAGUGCUGGGAUUACAGGCGUUUGACACCACGCCCAGCCCAACAAUUCAACUUUUACAAAUUCAUCCUGCAGAUAUAAUCUCACAAGAGAGUGAUGAAAAAGAAUAUUUAUAGCAGAAAAAGACUGAAAACAGCGUAUGUGUUCAUCAGUGAGGCUAACUUAAUUAUAGUACAUACCUCUAAUGGAAUAUUAUAUAGCUGUUAAAGAGAAUGAGGCAGCUUUAUGAAUUCCCAAGAUCUGUUAAGUGAAAAAAAAUUUUUAAAUCUUUGAAAUGCACUGGAGAUUUACAGUUUUCUCAGAGAUGUCAAUUUCUUUUUUUUCUUUCUUUCUUUUUUUGAGACAGAAUCUUGCUGUCACCCAGGCUGGAGUGCAGUGGCAUGACCACGGCUCAUUGCAGUCUCAGCCUCCUGGGCUCAGGUGAUCCUCCCAUCUCAGCCUCCCAAAUAGCUGAGACCACAGAUGUAUGUCACCACAUCCAGCUAAUUUUUUUUUAAUUUUUUGUGGAGAUGGGAGUUUCACCACAUUGCCCAGGCUGGUCUCAAACUCCUGGGCUCAAGCACUCUUCCUGUCUUGGCCUCCCAAAGUUCUGGGACUGCAUGAGCCACUGCACCUGGCCUCAGAGAUGUCAAUUUCUAACAAAGCAACUGAUGUGAAUUAGCAAUUUUGGUACUUACACAAUAAAUCUGUAGGCUGCAUAAAAUCUUAUGCAAUUAAAAUGUAAGUACUAGUUACAUUACUUAACUGAAUCAGAAUUCUUCUCAUCCUUGUGAUCCAUAUAACCAAAUAAAAGAAACAGUUUCUGUUUCUCAGAGCUUAUAUCAAGAGAACAAAACAGAACACUACGAUCUCAGCAGCUGAAACACCUGAAAGCACAAAUUUCUCAUGGAAGAUUUCUGGCUUUUAGACACUGUGAGUAUGCUUGGCGUAUGUGAGGAAAAGCAAGGAUGGUAUGGCUGGAAUUGCAUGUAUGAGAGGAAGAGUGAUUAAAAAAUGAGAAAAGAGAAAUAAACAGAAUGGAUCUAUUAGGAAAUUGCAAGCAACAGGAAAAAACUGCAAUGUAUGUAAGUGUAAAAGGAAGUCGUUAGAAGACUCUACAGACAAAUUAACAUAAUUUAUGUUUUACAAGGAUCAUACAUUCUACAUAUAGCUUCUGUGUACUAUGAAGUGUUCAAUGUUAUACGGAGCAGAAGAAGAAUGGAAGCAGGAAGAUCACUUAGGACCACUUAGGAAGCUACAAUAACCCAAGGAAAAACUGGUAGUUAAACCCAAGGUAAUAAUAAUGGUGGAUGUGAAGAACAGUAGUCAGAUGUGGAUAUAUUUUGAAGGUAGAGGCAUUGCCUGAUACGUAUAUGAGAUGCGGGGUAUGAAAGGAGUCAAGAAUAACACAACAGGGUGUCAUUUCCUGAGAUAGGAACACUAAGGGAGGACCACACUGAAAGAGGGAGAAUGAAUAAUUUGGUUUUGGGAUGGUAGAUUUUGAAAUCCUUCUUAAAUCUUCAAAUGGAAAUAUCAAGAAGACAGUUGGAUAUAUUAGCCUGUAGUUAAGAGAAGACUGGCCAAGAAAUGAGACAUAAAUUUGGGACUCAUCAAUGAAGAGAUGGUACUUAAAAUUCAUGAAACUAGGUAAGAUCACCCAGUGAGUUUAUUUACUACAGAUGGAAGACAGCUGAGAGUCCUGACAUACUUCAGUAUUUAGAAAUCUGGUCAAAAUGAAGGAGUCAGAAAAAGACACUAAGAAGGAACAGCUAAUAGAGUAGGAGAAAAAUGAGGAGACUGGUGUCAUAGAAGCUAACGAAGAAAAUAGGAGGGAGUGCCUGAACCAUAAUGAAUGCUGCUGAGAUGACUGAUAAAAUGAAGACUGAGAACUUAACUUCUAACUUGAGAACAGCUACAUCAGUGGGAAAAUGAGUGUACAAGUCAGAGUGGAGUGAUCCCAAUAGAGAUUGAGAGGAGAUAACCUGAGAAUCCUAGUAUAAAAUAAUUCUUCAGAGGAACUGAAGGAACAGAGAUAACUAUUCAGAGGCCCUUAAUAGAGGUUUUUGUUUUUAGGACUUUGGCUGUGUGUGUGUGUGUGUGUGUGUGUGUGUGUGUGUGUGCGCUAAUUUUUAAAUUAUUAGUAGAGACAAGGUCUUGCUCUGUUGCCCAGUCUGGUUUUUGUUUUUUGGACUUUGGCUGUGUGUGUGUGUGUGUGUGUGUGUGUGUGUGUGUGUGUGCGCGCGCGCGUGCGCGCUAAUUUUUAAAUUAUUAGUAGAGACAAGGUCUUGCUCUGUUGCCCAGUCUGGUCUUGAACUCCUGGACUCAAGCGAUCCUCCCACCUCAGCCUCCCAAAAUGCUGGAAUUAUAGGUGCAAGUCACUGUACCCAGCCUAUUUACUUGUGGUUUUUUAUAAGAAUUUUUUUUAAGAUUGAGAAUAUUACAGCUUUGUAGUAUGCUUACAAGAAAGCUCUAAUAAAGAGCAGUGAGUUCAGGAGGAAAAUCUUUGUGUAAUAGAGACUGUGAUCAGUAAAAUGCAAAUAGACUUAGAUUUUGCACAAGGAGAAUAAAGUUAUUUUAAGUAAUUUAAGAACAAUAUUUGUUUUAUAAUGAAAGCAAAUUUCAUACUUCGAGGUAAAGUCAACCGCCAUUCUUUGUCCCUCUUAGUCAUUGCUUUAGCAGUAUACUGAUAAUUCUAUGCUAUAUCCAAGAAUCAUUUCAAGGUAUAACCACCAACUAAGGAAUUCAACUAUCAUAUAAAUAAAUAUUGUGAAAUAUUCUAACAUAUUCCUCCUGCACAUUUUUGUUUUUUGUUUUUUUGAUUUCUGUUUUUUGUUGUUGUUGUUGCUAUCCAUCAGUUUAUUGUCUUUAUCUGAAAAAUCCUCAUAGAAAAUUGUUUGGUUUAGCUCUCAGCAGCCUGCUCCUGAGCUCUGAGGGAGUUUGCCUUCUUUUGAGUUACCUGAUCUUUCUUCUGAGCAAGGGAUAUUUUGGGAUGGUUCCACCUCUUCUUUUUUGUUUCUUGGGCUUCUUUUCAUAGACUGGAUUCUCUCGUAUAGCAGCAUGAGCUUUCUUAUACAUCUCCUCCAUCUGUGAGGGACAGACAAGCCUCCAUCCACAGCGCCCUU